rnacentral:rRNA from 1 species
GAUGAACGCUGACAGCAUGCUUAACACAUCAGCAAUUGAUUGGUGGCGGUCGGGUGAGUAACGCGUAAAGCACUUGCCUCACAGGUAGGGACAACAUUUGGAAACGAAUGCUAAUACCUAAUACUGUGAGAGAGCUUUGCGUCCCCUUGGCUAGUUGGAGAGGUAACGGCUCACCACGGCGAGGAUGGCUAUCCGGCCUGAGAGGGUGAUAGGCCAAAAGGGGACGGAGACACGGCCCUUACGCCUACGGGAGGCAGCAGUGGGGAAUAUUGGACAAUGGACCAAAGUCUGAUCCAGCAAUUCUGUGUGCACGAUGAAGUUUUCGGAAUGUAAAGUGCUUUCAGUUGGGAAGCGGUACCAACAGAAGAAGUGACGGCUAAAUACGUGCCAGCAGCCGCGGUAAUAC